rnacentral:rRNA from 1 species
ACGCUCGACACCUACGGGAGCAGCAGUUGGGAAUAUUGGACAAUGGAGGAAACUCUGAUCCAGUGACGCCGCGUGAAGGAAGAAGGUCUUCGGAUUGUAAACUUAUUUUGUCAGGGAAGAAAAAUGACUGUACCUGAAGAAAAAGCACCGGCUAACUACGUGGCAGCAGCCGCGGUAAUCUGAGCGGGCUGGCAAGGC